UCGUCAAAAUUAAUCAAAUUCACACGUCACAUUCGUAGAGAAAAUUAAUUCUGGAAAUUCUAGUACUAUUGAUUAGUACGCAAUGGAUGAAGUAGAACGUGCGAAAGAGGCAGCGGCACAACCAGCCCCGGCCAUUACCAUUUUUGGCAAAAUUAUUGACGGUUCCAUCACCGCCAAGAUUAUCUACCGAGAUGAGAAAUGUCUGGCUUUUCACGAUGUCAAUCCACAAGCUCCAGUCCAUUUCCUUGUCAUCCCCAUCAAACCCAUCACCAUGCUAGAGAAAGCGGAGGCUGAUGAUCUUGAGCUUUUGGGUCACCUCAUGCUGACCGCCAAAAAAGUGGCUGCCGACUUGAACUUGAAUAAAGGCUACAGGCUAGUGGUAAACAAUGGAGAAGAAGGCUGUCAAUCUGUUUUCCAUCUCCACAUCCACGUUUUGGGUGGCAGGCAAUUGGGAUGGCCACCUGGUUAAGUUUCUUCUUUCCAUCAAAUUGAGAUUGCUGUAAUACCAAAACAUUUUAUCGUCUUCUUCUUCCAAGUCUUGGGGGUGGAUCGACGUCCGAUCCGGGCCGGCUGAGCCACAACCGAGUCGGAACGUAUUGGCAUCCCAUGUAAAGUGAUUUCAGUUCGUAGCUGGAAUAAGGUGGCACGGCAUCACACGGAGCCCCGAAUAAAUUGUAUUUUAACGUCCCAUUAGAAGAAUCUUCGUACCGACUGGUGGAGAAUUUGACAACAUCCAACGAAUCCUAAUUUCAAAUGCAAAUUCCAAUUUUGUAAACUAACAAGUCAAUUUUUAGGAGUCUAAAUGUGAUUUGGAACGAACCUUGAAGGCUUGCGAGAGACACGAGUGGCCGUGAGGAUAAUUGGCCCAGUGGUACGUGAAUUCUCCGACGUGCGACAGCUGAUGCGAUUGGCCGCUGGUGAACAUCAAGACGUUGGCGUGUCGUUUCGAUCGUUUCAAACCGUCGGCCAACAGUCCCGAAUAAUUCUGGUCAACCAACACGACCACCUGGCGGGCCACGCAAUCCUGGAUGUCGCGAAGGAAUUCACGAAUGACAAAUGAAUUUACCUCUCCAUUGUUGUCGGCAUCCCACAAAAGAGAAGCGCCAUCCGGUCGGGUCGGACUCGACAGGUAAACGACGAGCGAGUCGGCACAAUGCGGAGUGGUGCACAUGGUGCGGAUGUGAUUUCGCAGGCCAAUUUUCAACGAGGCCGGAUACAUGGCGGGACGUUCGUUCGGAUGGUGGUCGUGAUGUCGAUGUUGGUUCACUGGUUUCUCCGUACCACCGUUCAACA